GAUGAAGAACGUAGCGAACUGCGAUAAGUAAUGUGAAUUGCAGAAUUCAGUGAAUCAUCGAGACUUUGAACGCACAUUGCGCCCCCUGGCAUUCCGGGGGGCAUGCCUGUCCGAGCGUCAUUGCUGCCCUUCAAGCCCGGCUUGUGUGUUGGGUCGUCGUCCCCCCCGGGGGACGGGCCCGAAAGGCAGCGGCGGCACCGCGUCCGGUCCUCGAGCGUAUGGGGCUUUGUCACCCGCUCGAUUAGGGCCGGCCGGGCGCCAGCCGGCGUCUCCAACCUUCUAUUUUACCAGGUUGACCUCGGAUCAGGUAGGGAUACCCGCUGAACUUAAGCAUAUCAAUAAGCGGAGGA
rnacentral:misc_RNA from 1 species